AUGCAGUCGAGCGCAGGAACAAGUUGAUCCCUUCGGGGUGACGCUUGUGGAAUGAGCGGCGGACGGGUGAGUAACACGUGGGCAACCUACCUUGUAGACUGGGAUAACUCCGGGAAACCGGAGCUAAUACGGGAUGAUCAUUUGAAUCGCAUGAUUGAAAUGUAAAAGUGGGGAGUAAUCCUCACACUACGAGAUGGGCCCGCGGCGCAUUAGCUAGUUGGUAAGGUAAUGGCUUACCAAGGCAACGAUGCGUAGCCGACCUGAGAGGGUGAUCGGCCACACUGGAACUGAGACACGGUCCAGACUCCUACGGGAGGCAGCAGUAGGGAAUCAUCCGCAAUGGGCGAAAGCCUGACGGUGCAACGCCGCGUGAACGAUGAAGGUUUUCGGAUCGUAAAGUUCUGUUAUGAGGGAAGAACAAGUGCCGUUCGAAUAGGGCGGCACCUUGACGGUACCUCACGAGAAAGCCCCGGCUAACUACGUGCCAGCAGCCGCGGUAAUACGUAGGGGGCAAGCGUUGUCCGGAAUUAUUGGGCGUAAAGCGCGCGCAGGCGGUCUCUUAAGUCUGAUGUGAAAGCCCACGGCUCAACCGUGGAGGGUCAUUGGAAACUGGGAGACUUGAGUGUAGGAGAGGAAAGUGGAAUUCCACGUGUAGCGGUGAAAUGCGUAGAUAUGUGGAGGAACACCAGUGGCGAAGGCGACUUUCUGGCCUACAACUGACGCUGAGGCGCGAAAGCGUGGGGAGCAAACAGGAUUAGAUACCCUGGUAGUCCACGCUGUAAACGAUGAGUGCUAGGUGUUAGGGGUUUCGAUGCCCU
rnacentral:rRNA from 2 species